AUUGAACGCUGGCGGCAUGAUUUACACAUGCAAGUCGAACGGUAACAGGCCGCAAGGUGCCGACGAGUGGCGAACGGGUGAGUAAUGCAUCGGAACGUGCCCAGUCGUGGGGGAUAACUACUCGAAAGAGUAGCUAAUACCGCAUACGAUCUAUGGAUGAAAGCGGGGGACCGUAAGGCCUCGCGCGAUUGGAGCGGCCGAUGUCAGAUUAGGUAGUUGGUGGGGUAAAGGCUCACCAAGCCAACGAUCUGUAGCUGGUCUGAGAGGACGACCAGCCACACUGGGACUGAGACACGGCCCAGACUCCUACGGGAGGCAGCAGUGGGGAAUUUUGGACAAUGGGCGCAAGCCUGAUCCAGCAAUGCCGCGUGCAGGAAGAAGGCCUUCGGGUUGUAAACUGCUUUUGUACGGAACGAAACGGCUCUGGUUAAUACCCGGGGCUAAUGACGGUACCGUAAGAAUAAGCACCGGCUAACUACGUG
rnacentral:rRNA from 1 species